GAUGAACGCUAGCGGGAGGCUUAACACAUGCAAGUCGAGGGGCAGCAUAGGGUAGCAAUACUCUGAUGGCGACCGGCAAACGGGUGAGUAACGCGUAUGCAACCUACCCUGUACAGGGGGAUAACCCGGAGAAAUUCGGACUAAUAUCCCGUAAUAAUAUCCGGAGGCAUCUUUGGAUAUUAAAGUUUCGACGGUACGGGAUGGGCAUGCGUAACAUUAGCUGGUUGGUAAGGUAACGGCUUACCAAGGCUAUGAUGUUUAGGGGUCCUGAGAGGGUGGUCCCCCACACUGGUACUGAGACACGGACCAGACUCCUACGGGAGGCAGCAGUGAGGAAUAUUGGUCAAUGGGCGCAAGCCUGAACCAGCCAUCCCGCGUGCAGGAAGACGGCCCUAUGGGUUGUAAACUGCUUUUCCAGGGAGAGAAACUUACGCACGUGUUGCGUGACUGACGGUACCCUGGGAAUAAGCAUCGGCUAACUCCGUGCCAGAAGCCGCGGUAAUAGUGUGUGUA
rnacentral:rRNA from 1 species